GGGGAGAAGGCCUCUUCCUCCUCCUCCUCCUCCUCCAGCCGCCGCCGGACUCUCCGACACACACACACACACGCCAACCGACGGAGGCGGGAGAUGAUGAUUAUUAGUUGCGUUGAGUCAUCAGGCCAAAAUCUCCCCCGCCACCACCGCCAAAAGCCUUAAAACUGGGUCUCGGGUGGAAGCGGAAAAACCAUCUCUCGAAGAUGGCACGACCAAGUGAUAACCCGUGAAUAACCAUCGGUUGCGUUUCCCUCCUUACCUCGGGGAUGAACUGAACUCCGAAGCCUUCCUCCCGACCGAUGUCCAGAAACUUAGAAGAAUUGGUGAUAUUAGGACUUCGGUACUUUUGGGGGGGGGAAUAAAAAAAAAGAAAAGAAAGAAAAAGGCCAAUGGUUUAGCCAAGAAUCUCCCUUGUCUGAUUCGUCACUAUUAUUAUAUCUGAUGAUGCUCCUGGUUGGAGCGAUUCAUCCCCCAGCCAUUAAUGAGCUAUUUUAUAAACACCCCCGGUGGAAGAUCCUCAUUUUCCAGUGGCCAGCGAACACUCCCCUAAACCCUACGAGAAUGGGUUUCCAACAACCCGAUUUCGGGCCCUCCAAUGAAAAAGGCGCAAAAGACUCCCCGCCGCAGCGUUUCUAAUGCGCUCAAUAUUUUAUAAAGUUGUAAAUAAUUGAUCAGGUGUCUACCCCAACGAUUAAGUCUGAAUUAUUAAACCCCUCCGAAGAGCCAUUUGAAUAACGCAUCCAAUUAAGUAGUUAAAUAUAUACCGCCGUUAGUUCGGUUGCCAAUUUUACACCUUUUUUAAAAAAAAAAAACAAAUCUGAGAACUUUCUCUUUUUUUAUUUGGUUUUUCGUUUUGGUGUUAGACGGAAGGAUCCCUGAAAUAUUGUAAACUCUGGAUCGAAGACAGGGAAAUGCCUCUUGUGUCCCCCAAAACAGGUCCACAGGCCCAAGAGAAGAAAAACUACAACGAAAGUUCGUAGAUUUAAGCGGGUUAACGUGUCUCUUAGCUCGUUUCCAUUUUAAAAGCGAAUUCUUGGAAGUUUGGUAACGUAUACCCCUUGUGUGUCUUUUCUUUUUUGUUUUCCUCUUUUCGGUUGGUUUUUUUUCCUUCCUUUUUUUCCCUAAUAAAGGCCUUCUCUGUUUCAAAUUACUACGCAUUUUA